rfam:Mus musculus chromosome 17 genomic contig MG4222_MG3908_PATCH, GRC reference assembly FIX PATCH for GRCm38.
AGGGAUAUAUCUCAUUUGUAGAGUGCUUGCCUAGCAUGCAAGAGGUCCUGGUCCUGGGUUUAACCCCCAGUACCACGU